UGGGGAAUAUUGGACAAUGGGCGCAAGCCUGAUCCAGCCAUGCCGCGUGAGUGACGAAGGUCUUCGGAUUGUAAAGCUCUUUUGGCGGGGACGAUAAUGACGGUACCCGCAGAAUAAGCCCCGGCUAACUUCGUGCCAGCAGCCGCGGUAAUACGAAGGGGGCUAGCGUUGUUCGGAAUUACUGGGCGUAAAGCGCACGUAGGCGGACUGAUAAGUCAGGGGUGAAAUCCCGGGGCUCAACCUCGGAACUGCCUUUGAUACUGUUAGUCUCGAGUCCGGAAGAGGUGAGUGGAAUUCCUAGUGUAGAGGUGAAAUUCGUAGAUAUUAGGAAGAACACCAGUGGCGAAGGCGGCUCACUGGUCCGGUACUGACGCUGAGGUGCGAAAGCGUGGGGAGCAAACAGGAUUAGAUACCCCAGUAGUCCCUGAGCGGGCUGGCAAGGCGCAU
rnacentral:rRNA from 1 species